CCGUGCUAGGUGGGGAGCUAGCGGUGCCCUGUACCCGCAAUCCGCUUCAGCGGGGCUGAAUCCCCACCCCAGGAGCGGUCCUGUGAGGUCUGACGUCGGCAUGUGGCGUUGACGGCCAGGUCCUGCGCAAUGGGAAUCCGUGAACCGGGUCAGGAUCGGAAGGUAGCAGCCCUAAGCGGACAAUCUCAUGUGCCGUGGGGUAGCUUGGCUUGAGCCGGCUACCGGCGGGCGCUCGGAGGUCCGUCUUCGAAGGUGGGUGCACGG
rnacentral:SRP_RNA from 1 species